rnacentral:rRNA from 1 species
UACGAAGGGGCUAGCGUUGCUCGGAAUCACUGGGCGUAAAGGGCGCGUAGGCGGCCGAUUAAGUCGGGGGUGAAAGCCUGUGGCUCACCACAGAAUUGCCUUCGAUACUGGUUGGCUUGAGACCGGAAGAGGACAGCGGAACUGCGAGUGUAGAGGUGAAAUUCGUAGAUAUUCGCAAGAACACCAGUGGCGAAGGCGGCUGUCUGGUCCGGUUCUGACGCUGAGGCGCGAAAGCGUGGGAGCAACAGG